rnacentral:rRNA from 1 species
GAUUAACGCUAGCGGCAGGCCUAAUACAUGCAAGUCGAACGGGAUUCAAAGUAGCAAUAUUUUGAUGAGAGUGGCGCACGGGUGAGUAACACGUAUGCAAUUUACCUUUAACUGGGGGAUAGCCCUCCGAAAGGAGGAUUAAUACCGCAUAAUAUAUUGAAAUGGCAUCAUUUUAAUAUUAAACCUACGGGGGUUAAAGAUGAGCAUGCAUCCGAUUAGCUAGUUGGUGUGGUAACGGCUCACCAAGGCAACGAUCGGUAGGGGGUCUGAGAGGAUGAUCCCCCACACUGGUACUGAGACACGGACCAGACUCCUACGGGAGGCAGCAGUAAGGAAUAUUGGACAAUGGAGGCAACUCUGAUCCAGCCAUGCCGCGUGAAGGAUUAAGGCCCUAUGGGUUGUAAACUUCUUUUAGACGGGACAAACCCCUUUACGUGUAAAGGGUUGAUGGUACUGUCAGAAUAAGCAUCGGCUAACUUCGUGCCAGCAGCCGCGGUAAU